AGACCUGGUGCUGAGACAGCCAAAGCAUCCGGUCCAGCCCAGGCCAGAGCCAGGAAACCCUUGUGAUCCGGAAAAUUAGAAAUGUGGUCAAGGUCGGGACCCGGAACUGAGCAGGCCUUCGGUGGGCUGUCCCAGGGUGGAGACCAAGGAGAAGGGGAGGCUCAGCCAAGACUUUCACCCAGGGCAACGAGGGGCAGCCAGUCCUACGGGGUCACCUUCAGGGCUCAGUGGCUGCAGUUAUGAUACUGAAGGGAUAAGAGGAGUCAGAGGAAGGGAAGAAACCCCGUAUCUGGCCAGGCGGAGAGCUCACUGGUUCUGGAGCAAAAUCUUUCGGGACAACUGCAACAGGGCCGGGAGAGGUGAGAGCUCAACAACCUCAACGGAGGCAGAGAAUCUCACAGCAUCACCAGAGAGUUCCCCGGGCCGGCUGCUCUUCAGGCAGGCGUGUGUUUGUGGGAGAGGUGCACUGUUAAUGGCUCUGAGGCUCUGAAGCUCCGUCCAACUAUGGCUUAAAGAAGCUAAUAAAAACUUCACGGAGAUUUAGAGACAACUAAUGACAUCAGGAACGUUGGCUGCCAUGCCUACCUGCUCUAGUUCUCGUUUGGAAAUUCCCCAUGCUCAGCUGUGAAAGAACAGAAUGGAAACCAAUCAAGGGACGGGGGAUAUUGAUAUCUAGCCUACAUGGAUGGAGAAGACAUCGAAAGAUAGGGAGAAUGACAUCACAAAACCUUCAAUGCCUUCCAGUCCACAGGGAGGCGGUCACUCACAGAUGCAAUAACCUUUCGGGGUCUGCCUCUGAAAACAUUCAGUGAAAGUUGGUGACUUGGUUCAUUUUUCAGGCAAAGAAAUGAAGGCAUGGGUUGAAAAUAGACAGAGCUAUAAGGCUUUAAGAGUGGCAGCUUUCUGUCCAAAUUCCAACAAAAAUAGUUAUCAGAUCUCUCUCUCUUUUUUUUUAAAGGCAGCAGGAGAACAUAGAUCCAAAAUUCUGUGUAAUCCACUCAACUAAGACUAUAACAACAACAAACAGUUCUAUAGUGCAGUUUAUGUUAUUCUUGGCAGAGCUCAGAUCUCAGGUGACAUCAAAGGUGACUACAUAGAUAUAUAUACAAUGAAGUCAGCUUAUAAUUCAUUUCUAUUAGAUUUACAAAUUUAAACUGCUUAGGGCUUACAAGUUUCCGAGAGACAGAGAAUACCACAAAGAAGUGGAUAGAUGGCAGAUGACACAUGCGAGACCCAAAGUGCUAAUUUCCUGAAUAUACAAAGAGCUCUUACAAGUUAAUCAAAAGACAAAUAACUCAAUGAAGUAAUGGGCUCUUGCCUAUGUUAUGAAUAUUUUCAUCUGGUAUGACAUUUACUCUUUGAUUUCAUUAUUUUUGUGAUUUUCAUAGGCUUGUAUUUUAUGUAGUCAAAUCUCUAUGUCUUUCUAUCACUUUUGUGUUUAGAAGGACGUUCCUCCUUCUGAAGUACACAUAUUUGAUUUUGGAUUUGAGAUGGCAUUCAUUUCUGAUCCAUCUAUAAAGUUUUUGGUGUGUGGUUAAAGGUAAAAAUAGACUCACAUUUUCCUAAAUAAUUAGCCAGUUGUUCCAGCUCCAUUUAUUGAGUGGUCCUUCCUUUCCCAACUGAUGCGCGGUGUAACCUUUAUCAUAUAUUAAAUACUCAUGUGUGCUAAAAAUAAAAAGUCAUUUCAGUUGA